UACUAUCAGUUACGCGUGUUUCCAUUCUUCACCAAUCAAGAACUUAGACAUCUUUUCGUACUAAAGAAACCGAGUAACAGCCGCUGUUGUUUUAUUUAUUUAUUCUUUUAAACUUUCGUUGAUUGUUCGGAAUUAGCAAUAAAUUCUGCAUUUCCGCUUUUUUUUAAACCAAUCAAGAGCUUAAUCUAUAAUCAUCAUGGCUUUAAACAUUCACCGAACCAUCUAUAUAUAACUCCACAUAUUCUGUUCGACACCCUCAUUCCUCACACACAUCUCCCACCUUUCUGUUUCGCCACUUCAAAACAAUCCACCGGAGACGGGAGAUCGCGAAGACAUCAGAGGACGACAGGAACGCGGCACGCCUCGUUUACGGUAUACGUUCCAACUAUUCUUUUAUUUUCUUUUCGUUCGUCGUUCCUUCGUUUCUGUCAAUUUCAAAGUUAAAACACAACGGAUUCUUAAUUGGUUACAUGUUCUGUUCUUGUCUUCUUUAUGACACCGCGCAUUGUCGGAAAGAACUCGAAGCCGCCAGAGUUGGAGGUCUCGCCGGAACCGGGGUUCAUCGGAGGCGCCCGUAAGCCGCAACUGAGUUUCGCUCCUUUCAUUUCGGAUAACCAUUACAUUCGUUCUCUUGGAUUUUACCCAAUCUUAUUCAUACGCUACUUUACAAGAAGCGCAACGCAAUCUAAGGUUGAUUAGUACAAGACUCAAGAAACAAGCUAGGAUG